AUGCUUAAACUUGAUCUUGCUAAGGCUUUCGAUCGUUUAGAAUGGAGCUUCAUUGUUUCAGCUCUUGCACGUAAAAGAUUGCAUGCUCAUUUCAUAAAUUUGAUUUAUGAGUGCAUUUCUUCUCCUACUUUUUCUGUGGUCAUUAAUGGUAGGCCUUCUCAUAAAUUCAAAAGUUCUAGGGGUAUUCGUCAAGGUUGUCCUAUGUCCCCUUAUUUGUUUGUUAUUGCCAUUAAUGAAUUAUCUCUUGCUCUUAACGAAGCUUUAGCUGCUCAUAGUCUUCAGGGUAUUUUGCUUGGACCAAAUUGCCCCCCGAUUCACUCUCUUUUGUUUGCAGAUGAUAUGUUGGUAUGUGGUCAAGCUACUGUUCAGGAAGCUAAUGCUAUGGCCAACAUUAUCAAUCAUUUUUGUUCCAUGUGA
rnacentral:rRNA from 1 species